rnacentral:rRNA from 1 species
AUUGAACGCUGGCGGAAUGCUUUACACAUGCAAGUCGAGCGGCAGCGCGGGGCAACCUGGCGGCGAGCGGCGAACGGGUGAGUAAUACAUCGGAACGUGCCCAGACGUGGGGGAUAACUACUCGAAAGAGUGGCUAAUACCGCAUACGAUCUAAGGAUGAAAGCGGGGGAUCGCAAGACCUCGCGCGUUUGGAGCGGCCGAUGGCAGAUUAGGUAGUUGGUGGGGUAAAGGCUCACCAAGCCAACGAUCUGUAGCUGGUCUGAGAGGACGACCAGCCACACUGGAACUGAGACACGGUCCAGACUCCUACGGGAGGCAGCAGUGGGGAAUUUUGGACAAUGGGCGCAAGCCUGAUCCAGCCAUUCCGCGUGCAGGAUGAAGGCCUUCGGUUGUAAACUGCUUUGUACGGUAACGAAAAGACUCUCUCUAAUACAGGGGUGAAUGACGGUACCGUAAGAAUAAGACACCGGCUAACUACGUGCCAGCAGCCGCGGU